rnacentral:rRNA from 1 species
AACGGCCGUACCAUGCUGAAUAUACCGGUUCUCGUUCGAUCACCGAAGUCAAGCAUCAUUGGGCGCGGUCAGUACUUGGGUGGGUGACCACCUGGGAACACCGCGGGCCGU